rnacentral:rRNA from 1 species
CUUGUACACACCGCCCGUCACACCAUGGGAGUGGGUUUCACCAGAAGUAGGUAGCCUAACCGUAAGGAGGGCGCUUACCACGGUGAGAUUCAUGACUGGGGUG